rnacentral:lncRNA from 1 species
GCAGGCCGCGCCGCCCGGGAACUUCCUCCCCUGCAGAGACCACCUCGCUCCCGGGACUCGCCAGCGAGGGAUGCCGCCGGCCGCCGGGGGCCUUCUCCAGGACCAGGAGAGAAAUCCUCUCUCCGCUUCACGACGCGGCCACUCCCACCCCUGAGACGCCCACCUGGCGGACUCUGAGGGAGGAUUCGGCUGCGUCUAAUACCACCUCCACCCCUCAUCCCUCACAAUGCGCGGAAAACCACAGGCGGCUGUGCGCGCAGCGUCGGCUCAGCCACCGCAGCUCCUCCCCUGGGAUGAAAAAGCACUCUGACGUCUUGAAAGCUGGCAGCUCUCUGUUUGGAAAAUCUCUGCCCAGUGAAAAAAUGUACCGACAAGAUUACUAAGUAACACAGUCUUCUGGGAAUGCCUUAUCAAUGCCAGCUAUUUGAAGAGCACCCAAAGUCAAACUAGUGCUCCGCGCUGGCAGUCUGGAAAAGGCAGAUAAACCAAAAAGGAUGGAGUUCAGAGACCUUCCAUGUUGAUGAACAAGAACACAUUCACCUGCUGUAGGGGUAGGUGUACCCCAAAACUCCACUGAUACAGAAGCUUCUAUACUCAAGACCCUUCUAUACUCAAGACCCUGGAUCUUACCCUAUAUAUCUCUUCAUCUGGCUAUUUAUUUGCAUCUUUUAAUAUAUCCUUUGUAAUAAACUAGUAAUCUAGAAAGCAAACUUUUCCUAGCUCUGUAGGCCAUUCUAGUAAAUGAUUAAACCUGAGGAGGAGUUAUGGGAACCUUUGAUUUGUAGACAAGUUGGACAAAAGUGGUAUAUAUCCUAAUAUAACAUGGGAACCUGCCACUUAUGAUUGGCGUGUGAAAUUGGGGGAUGGGGAAGCAGUCUUGUGGGACUGAGCCCUUAGCCUGUGGGGUCUAAUGCUAUCUUCAGGUAAUAUCAGAACUGAGUUAAAUUAUAGGAUACCAGUCAGUGUCCAUUGGAGAACUGAAUUAUUGUGAGGAGAAACCCACACAUUUGGUGGCUAAAAGUAUUGAUGUGAGUAGUAGCAUAUAGGAGUUUUUUGCUAUAUACAUAUGUAGUGUAAGUUUAAAGUAAAAAGUUUUGUAUUGUCAGGAGUGACUUCUUUGCACCUAAAUAUCACUGCUAUAACUGCGUUACUAAGGAAUAGUUGCUUGCUUUUAUGUAUUUGGCACCUGCAGCUACUGUUCUAAAAAGUUUGCAUGUGUUAACCUAUUAAUUAAAUCUACAAAUGACUGGCUGUACCCAUGAAGUGAGUUAUUCUAAAGACAAUGGAACAUUUAAAUGGUUUAGAAAUUUUUUGAUUAAAA